rfam:Gossypium arboreum cultivar AKA8401 contig_8438_5, whole genome shotgun sequence.
GUUGAUAUGUCCGAGUGGUUAAGGAGACAGACCAGAAAUCUGUUAUGCACUGCCCCCGCAGGUUCGAACCCUGCUGUCGACG